UACGGGGGGGGCAAGCGUUGUUCGAAUUACUGGGCGUAAAGGCUCGUAGGCGGCCAACUAAGUCAGAACGUGAAAUCCCUCGGCUUAACCGGGGGAACUGCAUCUGAUACUGGAUGGCUUGAGAUUGGGAGAGGAAUGCGGAAUUCCAGGUGUAGCGGUGAAAUGCGUAGAUAUCUGGAGGAACACCGGUGGCGAAGGCAGCCCCCUGGGUCAAGAUUGACGCUCAUGCACGAAAGCG
rnacentral:rRNA from 1 species